rnacentral:rRNA from 2 species
CGGAGCUUGCUCUGUGGGAUCAGUGGCGAACGGGUGAGUAACACGUGAGCAACCUGCCCCUGACUCUGGGAUAAGCGCUGGAAACGGCGUCUAAUACUGGAUACGAGUAGCGACCGCAUGGUCAGUUACUGGAAAGAUUUAUUGGUUGGGGAUGGGCUCGCGGCCUAUCAGCUUGUUGGUGAGGUAAUGGCUCACCAAGGCGUCGACGGGUAGCCGGCCUGAGAGGGUGACCGGCCACACUGGGACUGAGACACGGCCCAGACUCCUACGGGAGGCAGCAGUGGGGAAUAUUGCACAAUGGGCGCAAGCCUGAUGCAGCAACGCCGCGUGAGGGAUGACGGCCUUCGGGUUGUAAACCUCUUUUAGCAGGGAAGAAGCGAAAGUGACGGUACCUGCAGAAAAAGCGCCGGCUAACUACGUGCCAGCAGCCGCGGUAAUACGUAGGGCGCAAGCGUUAUCCGGAAUUAUUGGGCGUAAAGAGCUCGUAGGCGGUUUGUCGCGUCUGCUGUGAAAUCCGGAGGCUCAACCUCCGGCCUGCAGUGGGUACGGGCAGACUAGAGUGCGGUAGGGGAGAUUGGAAUUCCUGGUGUAGCGGUGGAAUGCGCAGAUAUCAGGAGGAACACCGAUGGCGAAGGCAGAUCUCUGGGCCGUAACUGACGCUGAGGAGCGAAAGGGUGGGGAGCAAACAGGCUUAGAUACCCUGGUAGUCCACCCCGUAAACGUUGGGAACUAGUUGUGGG